UACGUAGGGGGCAAGCGUUGUCCGGAUUUAUUGGGCGUAAAGAGCGUGUAGGCGGCCAGGUAGGUCUGCUGUGAAAACUCGAGGCUCAACCUCGAGACGCCGGCGGAAACCAUCUGGCUAGAGUCCGGAAGAGGAGAGUGGAAUUCCUGGUGUAGCGGUGAAAUGCGCAGAUAUCAGGAAGAACACCCGUGGCGAAGGCGGCUCGCUGGGACGGUACUGACGCUGAGACGCGAAAGCGUGGGGAGCGAACAGG
rnacentral:rRNA from 1 species